UACGUAGGGAGCAAGCGUUGUCCGGAAUCAUUGGGCGUAAAGCGCGCGUAGGUGGCUUCGUAAGUCCGUUGUGAAAGUCAAAGGCUCAACCUUUGAAAGCCGAUGGAUACUGCGGAGCUAGAGUACGGAAGAGGCGAGUGGAAUUCCUGGUGUAGCGGUGGAAUGCGCAGAUAUCAGGAGGAACACCAAUAGCAAAGGCAGCUCGCUGGGACGUUACUGACACUGAGGCGCGAAAGCGUGGGGAGCGAACAGG
rnacentral:rRNA from 1 species